rnacentral:rRNA from 1 species
UACGGAGGGAGCUAGCGUUGUUCGGAAUUACUGGGCGUAAAGCGCACGUAGGCGGCUUUGUAAGUUAGAGGUGAAAGCCCGGGGCUCAACUCCGGAACUGCCUUUAAGACUGCAUCGCUUGAAUCCAGGAGAGGUGAGUGGAAUUCCGAGUGUAGAGGUGAAAUUCGUAGAUAUUCGGAAGAACACCAGUGGCGAAGGCGGCUCACUGGACUGGUAUUGACGCGUGAGGUGCGAAAGCGUGGGGAGCAAACAGG